UCUGCACGCUUCCUCAUCCAACUCUGUGCCUGACCAUUAGACAAAUGGCUUUCUGAGGCCUACGCCCUGAUGAAUGAAAAGAAUAUGAUGUUGACACCAGGAAGCCUGGAGCCUAGUUUCCAUCCCAUGAGAAAGGGGACCAUGAACUGAAGAUGGCUGGAAGUGAUAAAAUGCACAGAUUUGCACUCUCUAUGCUCCCCUCCUCUCUGUUUCCUACUAUAAAGACCCUUGCCCACCUG